ensembl:lncRNA
CGAGCAGGAUUCCACUGUACAAGCAGAGUUAACCUAUGAGAGUAUGCCAGGCGCUCGCUCGCAGCUACAUGUACACCUCUCGGUUGUUGAAUUUGUGCGCGAGUACUUUUAUCAUGCCAGCUGAAGGUUCAUUUUUGCGUGUGUGAAAUAACAUAAUGUGCUCGUGAGCAUGUCUUACACGCUUAUAACUUUUGACUAAAAAAUAACGCAUAUUACAACCUUCACAGAUUACAUAAUGCAUUCGUUCUGAAUUGAUUCGUUAAAAAGACAUUUCAAGCUUUCUGUAGAUAUAUUUAUCAUGUAUGUGAGACACCACAAUUUUAAGUUAAUUCAUUAUCAGGAAAAAAUUCAAGUGAUCUAGAGGGCGCCUCCCUGUCCUGCAUGCGCAUUAAUAAUUUUCGUAAAAACACUUAAAUAUGAAUAAUUAUUCACAUUUUGCAUAUGCAUUAUUUUUUACAUGCAAUUAUCCAAAAUAAAACCAAACAAGAUUUGUAAUGAAGAUAAAACAAAUAAGAAUAAAUGCUGCGCAUGCACUCAGCAUCACUCGCGCCGCGCAAAUCUUGCACGCAGACAUUUUACACACCUGCAUUUAAAUGCGGCUGCAAUUUUAUUAUUUUUUAACUUAAAUUCUAUGUAAGCAAGUAACGGCGGCUCCCUUUAAAAUCACUGAAGUUGUCUAUUAAUGAAGCUCUUUUUUACAUUAUUUGCACUUUGGUGAUUAUAAUGAGAGAACUUGAGUUUAAUCGUGAGGACGUUUUAUUAAUCCGUCCAUUCUUUAGAAUUUCAAUGAUUUAGCUAAAUCGUGCAGGUUUAAUUUAUUCGUUUCUUGUUUUAAUUAGGCCUAAAUAAUGGAAACGAAAUUAUACAGUGCCUCACGUUUUACUAAAAUAAAGAAAAUAAUCUAUAAAACACGCAACAAUUUCUUACAGACAAAUAUAUUUUCCCAAGAAGUUGUCUGUCAAAAUAAAGGACAGGUAACGAAUAACAAAAAUGCAUGCUGUUUUAUUAAAGGAAUUUUAAAAUAUAAAUUAAAAUAUAGGCCUAAUAUAUGCUCACUAAAAUAGGCUACCACUUUUAAUGCUCUGAUGCAAAGUAAACCACAAUUUAUUUUGAAUAAUAUAACACAUAAUUCAUAUUAUAUAAAUAAUACUGCACACCUAUUAAAUGUGUCAAAUCUAAAAUAUGGUGUAAUACUGUGUAGCUUAGAGAAAAUAUAAGCACAGGCUCAGGCACAGGCUUGACAUUUAUCCUGCUUGAAUUCGUUCUAAGAAAUGCACAUAACUUCAUAAUUACCAAACUUUCAUCUGUGAAUAUUAAAUAUUUUAACUAUAGUGUUUUUCUUUCAUUUUCCCUGACUGCAGCCGUCAAAUAUAACACUUCGGUGAGGCAAAACUGACAUCUAUUUGCGAAAAUGUGCUUUGAUGCGCUUGUUUGAAAACUUGUGAUUAAAGCGCCACUCAGCGGUCAAAAGCUGCAAAUGCACUUUGCAGACGCCGCGGCGGCGGU